GAUGAACGCUGGCGGCGUGCUUAACACAUGCAAGUCGAACGAGAAGUGGAGACGGAAACCUUCGGGCGGAAGACUUUAUUUCGAGUGGCGGACGGGUGAGUAACGCGUGGGUAACCUGCCUCAUACAGGGGGAUAACAGUUGGAAACGACUGUUAAUACCGCAUAAGACCACAGCACCGCAUGGUGCGGGGGUAAAAACUCCGGUGGUAUGAGAUGGACCCGCGUUCGAUUAGCCAGUUGGCGGGGUAACGGCCCACCAAAGCGACGAUCGAUAGCCGAUCUGAGAGGAUGACCGGCCACAUUGGGACUGAGACACGGCCCAAACUCCUACGGGAGGCAGCAGUGGGGAAUAUUGCACAAUGGGGGAAACCCUGAUGCAGCGACGCCGCGUGAGUGAAGAAGUAUUUCGGUAUGUAAAGCCCUAUCAGCAGGGAAGAAAAUGACGGUACCUGAGUAAGAAGCCCCGGCUAACUACGUG
rnacentral:rRNA from 1 species